ensembl:lncRNA
AAGUAAUAAAAAUACAAAUAUGUGCACUGUAAGGGCUACGUAUCACACUCACUUUCCUCUCACAUGAGCUCAUUUUCUUAAUCGAGCCUCAACAUUCAGGCUUAUGGGUACUGAAAAUAUGUCUUUUCUGGAAUUUCUAGCAUUAGGGGCCUACAGUUUGGUAACCCUAGGACUGAACUGCUAAAGAGCCAGAACAGGAAGCACGUCUUGAUCAUCCUCCAAAUUUUGCAUAUUUUGGGAAUGUCUUGAGCAAGGACAUUGGCAUCUAAGCUCCCAGCAUAGCCUGGCUGAGGCUUUGUGGCAGAAAGAUGCAGGUGCAAUGAGGCAGUCAUCUCAGUCCAACAAAGAACAACGCUUUUGAUGGUGUGUGUGGAGCUGCGCAUGGAGAAUGCUGUAUCCACAGAGCCUGCUGUUGGUGUCCUGGUCUGCUCUCACGUGCCUGUUCUUUGGAGAUCAGGAAGGAAUUCAGUUGGGGCUGAAUGGCAAGCUGUGCCACUGUAUUGUUGGUAGAUCACCACCCUUGUAAGAAAAUAAAAAUACCCACCAUACACCAUGAAGGAACCUCCUUUUGAUCUUCUCUGAGUAUGUAGGUCACUUAAUGUGAAUAGGAUUUAGAAGCCAUUUUUACAGCACUUGGUUUUUAUUUGCCACAAAAUGCUCAUGGUGGAUGCUAUAAAAAACAAAAGUUUUAAAUAGACCUAAGCUUUUAUCUCCAUUUGUGUAUCAUAUGGAAUACCUUAUUUGUACUGAUAGGUUUUUGUUCAAGAUCUCCCUGUGUCAGGAAAUUUUUUGUUCUGAUAGACCUCGCUCAAUUAUCUUCAACACAAAAAGAGACAGAGCAUGUCUCCAACUUUAUGCUGCCCAGGGAGGAGAAGUUAAUAUUAAUUAGCCUAUAAGGCCUGUGCAGUAAGUCCAAAGUUCAUUUCACAUCAGCCUUUUCUCUGGUACCAAAUUAUGCACUACCACAUUGGUGCCUGUUGCACACCUGAAACAGAAAAAAAUCCCUCCAUUGCUCUUUAAUGGAUAAGGCAGGGCUGUUUUUAAGCACUGGAUUGCCAAAGCGCUCAGUGUGCAACUGACUGGAAACUCAGCUGAACUUCUUGCUGAAAAAUGUCACUGCGAUAUUUCUAGAGUUUGGCAUUUGGAGUCUCUAGACACAAUAAGCACAUCCCUCUGUGACUCAGAUCUUUGUCUUGGUUCUAUAGGAGGUUAAAAUGGAGAGCGUAAUAUGUGACAUCAAGAAAAGUUCUAAGUGUAACUAAGGCUCUAGACACCUUCACAAAACACAUACAACUCUCUGAUUUGGAGCAGUGUUUUUAGCAAAAUGAUGGCCACCUCAGGUGAUAGAGAGGACAUCCUGAGAGCAUGUCUGAUUCUUUGCAUCGUCUCCCACACAGAUUAGCCUGACCCUCUGG